GAUGAACGCUGGCGGCGUGCCUAACACAUGCAAGUCGAACGGAGUCCAGCCUUUAAGACCUUCGGGUCAAAGAGGGGAAGACUGAGUGGCGGACGGGUGAGUAACACGUGGGCAACCUGGCUCAUAGAGGGGGAUAACAGAGAGAAAUUUCUGCUAAUACCGCAUAAGCACACACUGCCGCAUGGCAGAGGGUGAAAAGAGAAUCGCUAUGAGAUGGACCCGCGUCUGAUUAGCCAGUUGGCAGGGUAAGAGCCUACCAAAGCGACGAUCAGUAGCCGAUCUGAGAGGAUGAACGGCCACAUUGGGACUGAGACACGGCCCAAACUCCUACGGGAGGCAGCAGUGGGGGAUAUUGCACAAUGGGGGGAACCCUGAUGCAGCGACGCCGCGUGAGUGAAGAAGUAUUUCGGUAUGUAAAGCUCUAUCAGCAGGGAAGAUAAUGACAGUACCUGAAUAAGAAGCCCCGGCUAGCUACGUG
rnacentral:rRNA from 1 species